rnacentral:rRNA from 1 species
AGAAUCAACGCUGGCGGCGUGCCUAACACAUGCAAGUCGAACGAGAAAGUGGAGCAAUCCAUGAGUAAAGUGGCGCACGGGUGAGUAACACGUGACUAACCUACCCUUGAGUGGGGAAUAACUUCGGGAAACCGAGGCUAAUACCGCAUAACACCUACGGGUCAAAGGAGCAAUUCGCUUAAGGAGGGGGUCGCGGCAGAUUAGUUAGUUGGCGGGGUAAUGGCCCACCAAGACGGUGAUCUGUAUCCGGCCUGAGAGGGCGCACGGACACACUGGAACUGAAACACGGUCCAGACUCCUACGGGAGGCAGCAGUGGGGAAUUUGCGCAAUGGGGGAAACCCUGACGCAGCAACGCCGCGUGGAGGAUGAAGUCCCUUGGGACGUAAACUCCUUUCGGAUCGGGACGAUUAUGACGGUACCGGAAGAAGAAGCCCCGGCUAACUUCGCGCCAGCAGCCGC